UGGGGAAUUUUGGACAAUGGGCGCAAGCCUGAUCCAGCCAUGCCGCGUGCGGGAAGAAGGCCUUCGGGUUGUAAACCGCUUUUGUCAGGGAAGAAAUCUUCUGAGUUAAUACCUCGGGAGGAUGACGGUACCUGAAGAAUAAGCACCGGCUAACUACGUGCCAGCAGCCGCGGUAAUACGUAGGGUGCAAGCGUUAAUCGGAAUACUGGGCGUAAAGCGUGCGCAGGCGGUUUUGUAAGACAGAGGUGAAAUCCCCGGGCUCAACCUGGGAACUGCCUUUGUGACUGCAAGGCUUGAGUGCGGCAGAGGGGGGAUGGAAUUCCGCGUGUAGCAGUGAAAUUGCGUAGAUAUGGGGAGGAACACCGAUGGCGAAGGCAAUCCCCCUGGGCCUGCANUGACGCUCAUGCACGAAAGCGUGGGGGAGC
rnacentral:rRNA from 1 species